AAUACACAAGCCCUAGAAUGAUUUUUCACUACUUCUUCCUUCCAUUGACAGCUCUCCAACAAAAUCAGAAUCAUUUCAACACUUUUUUUUUAGUUAUAAUUUUUUCCUUUUAUUUUCUCCCUCAAGCACAGAAAAACCACUCCCUCGUUUCUCUUCUAAUUCUCACUCAUCACGCAUGAAUGCUAGAAAAUUUUGAUCACUCUCUUCUCAAACAAUAAUUUACCCUAAUUUGUCUUUUCACGCACAACCCCAUUCCCUCAUUUUCGGAGAUAAGACUACCAACAUGGAAGGAGAGAGAGACCAAUAAGCGGGGAGAGAGGCGGCGGAGGGCAAUCGUUGCUCAGAUCUUCGUCGGCUUGAGGAUGUACGGUAGUUACAAGCUCCCCAAGCACUAUGAUAACAAAGAGGUUCUUAAAGCUCUAUGUAAUGAAACGGGUUGGAUCGUUGAAGAAGAUGGAAUAUUUUAUAGAAUGGUACUGUUCAAAUUCAUUUCCUCUGAUUAUGCAAUUUCUGAUCAAUUUUUUAAACAUUACUUUUAUGGUAAAUUUGGCAUCAUGUACUCUUCAUUUUAAUUUUAUGCACCAUUUGGACGAGUUUUAAGAAUUCUGAUGCUGGGAUCCUUUUACAGGCAUCUGUCAAAAAGGAAAACCAGAAAUUGUUCUUUUUUUUCUAAAAAAAAAAAAAAUGCAGUAAUGAGAUUUGUAUGCUCCUUUGGAGCUUCAGAGGGUAGAGAUUAUUAUCGUGUUGUGGGAACAUUCAGUAUAGCCUUGUAUAUGUAAUCGAAGUAAUAUACUUAACUUGUGGAUUUUCUAAUAAGAUGCAAGAUGGCUAUGUGACAUUCCAGAGAUUAAGCUGUCUUACCCAACGAAUAUUAUAUGAAAUUAAGCUGCAUUUGAAGCAAAAAUAUAUCAGAGUGUUUUCUUCAGUCCUUUACAUGUCUACAGCAUAGCUGUAAAUAUUGAGGAUAAUGCCUACUGGAGGCUAUUGUCUAUAGUGACAUCCUUAAUAGAAGAAAUUCUCUUCAGCUCUCAUCUUCUAUGAAUUGAGAGAGAGAGACUUUCUACGUGAUGUGAAAUGGGGGAUGAAAUGAAAGAAUAGAUAGAAAUUACAUGCAAUGAGAUUAAAAAAGAAAGGUUCUUUUGUAAGUUCAAUUAGUAGAAGUGAGGUUUAUUUGAAAUCUUCAAUCAUACUUGUUCUUCCACUUUAGUUUAUUGUUCGAACGACUCAUAAAAUUUAAGUUUGUGUAUUCCCAGAGUAAUCACAACAACCAAGGCAGGAGGAGAAUGAGAGGUAGAACUUUUAGAGCUGAAAGAGAAGAUAAUAUUGGAAGAACAAUUUAUGUUUUUGACAUCGAUCACAAUGUAAGCGAAGAUUAAUGGGCUUGCAUAACUCUAUCAAUCUUUUACAAUCCAUAUUGAUACAAUUUACUUGCUUCGUAUAUUCAGCAGCUACGGACAAGUAAGUUCCUCAUUCUGAUUGUUGUUUGAUUAGUCUAUGCACAAUACAGAUAUCGAAACUCACUAAAGAUAUGAUAGAGGUGGAUGGAAGUUGUUGUUUGAUUGAGAUGUAAUUUAUCUUCUUCAUCUAAGAAGAGAUUAUUUGUGUAGAACACAAUUUGGAGAUGAAUAUGAUAUCAUAAUACUAUGGUCAUAUUGCUAAGUUUGGCAGACUACACUCUGAGGAGAUGGUCGUGGAGUUGUUCUGCAUCAAAUUAUAAUUAAAAGAAAAGGGAUUAGAUCGUAACAUGAGGGUUUGGGGAGGGCCAUGAGAGAAAAACGAUUACCCCUGACUUAUGGCUUCUUUGAUCAGUGUAAUUGUUUGAUUUCCUAAAAUGUACUUUGGCGUUAGUGAAAAAAAAUAUAUUCAUAUAUUCAUGGUUAAUGAAAAAAAAAAUAUAAUAACCAAAAUUCAUCGUAAUUCUUUGUAGGAAUAUUCAUAUAUCCUUCUUUAUUUUUUUAUACAUGGUGUUAAGUUCUUUUCCAAAUACUAGGUGGUUGAAUGCACGGUGGUUGGUUGAUGUUAAAAAUAAGUAUAUGUAAAUUUUCGAGAAAUUCAUCUUCCACACAUGCAUGUGCACACGUUUGUAGUCAUUUAUUCUUGUAAAGGUGCAUGAGGGUACUUUUAAAAAGAUUCAUAUCCUCAAAAAUUGCUAUUGAAUUACAUAAUAUUAUUGCAAAACGUUCUUGUUUUAACCUCAUCAACUCGGGGCAAUUUUUUAUGGUACAUUUCAGCCUUUCUUGCAGAGAAUUAGCAACUUUUUCAAUGAGCUUGAUCAUGGAUUUCACUUUGGCAUCCAUAUUUGUUCACGAAACACACAAUUUAUAUUUCCAUUUUUGAUAUCAUAGGCUCAAAACCAAGUGGAGAAAACAUGUGUUAUGCCAAAGUAACAGAGUUCAACAUGGGGAAGGUCAAUCAACAAAAGUAUGAUUUUGAUUUUUGUAUUAUGCAUGCUUUCUUUUGGAUUUUGCUCACAAUGUGACUCAGACUUCCACAUGAAAGCAACAAGCAGCAUAACAUCCACCAAAGUUAAGUGAAGCUUAAGUGAGCAAUUGGGAUGCACCCCAAGAGAAGCUUACAGCCUUUAUUUUUGAGUUCGAUCGGGUUAUCAUGAAUAUAAAAAGUUACCUAAUUAUGGUUAAUGGCUUGGCAAAUAACUACGUGAAUCCAGAAAUUCUUAUCUAUUGCUUUAAUUGUAUAUAAGCAAAGAAGUCAACAGUUAUUAUGGGUCAAAUUUAUAGUCCCCAACUCCAAGAGCUAUAAGAAAAUACGCAAAGCAAAUCCACAGAGUUUUAGUAGUUCAACCUGAGUUUGAGAUUUGAAUUACCUUCAAUGUAAGAGAGUU
rnacentral:lncRNA from 1 species